AGUGGCAAGUGAUGCAGAGUUUAAUCUUAUCCUACACACUGAAUAAGCUGUGUAGACUACAACUCCGCUUAUUAUCUGAUGCCCUA
rfam:Ananas comosus cultivar MD2 ACMD2_Scaffold_6287, whole genome shotgun sequence.